UUAGGAAUAUUGGGCAAUGGAGGAAACUCUGACCCAGCAACGCCGCGUGAAGGAAGAAGGUUUUCGGAUUGUAAACUUCUGAUCUUGGGGAAAAAGAAAGUGAUGGUACCCAAGGAGAAAGCCACGGCUAACUACGUGCCAGCAGCCGCGGUAAUACGUAGGUGGCGAGCGUUGUCCGGAAUGACUGGGCGUAAAGGGAGCGUAGGUUGUUGUUUAAGUUAAAUGUGAAAGCCCGCGGCUCAACUGCGGAACUGCAUUUAAUACUGGACAACUAGAGUGCAGGAGGGGUAAGCGGAAUUCCUA
rnacentral:rRNA from 1 species